UGUGGGUCUUCUGUAUGCUGAAGUUCCAAGCAAUGCCUUUCUUAUUUCUCUAUCUUACAUGAAGUCGUCUAAAUGACUUUUUCUCAAUUUUAUUUCUUUUUCCAGCUUCUUCCACCUUUCACAGGAGAAAGAAAGCAUAAAAACAAUUUUCUUGAUGUGUGUGCUGUUGUGGUGCAUUGUGAGAUGAAAUUCUCCAGGCUCUACAUUUAUUCCAGUUUAAAACAAUAUCAACAGAUACACAGGAUGCAGCUCAGAAUAUGUUAUCGUGUCCUGACAGGCAGCAGGAGGAUAAGAAAUCCAUAUUUUGAUUAUAUGACUAACUGGAUCGUUCUGCAUUUGUCUAGUAACAGUGGACAUGGAGCUUCCAGUUUAGGAAGUGCUAUAAACUUCAGUGGGAUAAGCUGAGCUUUGAAGUUACAUGUUAC
rnacentral:lncRNA from 1 species